rnacentral:misc_RNA from 1 species
AUGUUGCCGGCGCACUGC